AACGAACGCUGGCGGCAUGCCUAACACAUGCAAGUCGAGCGAGAUCUUCGGGUCUAGAGGCGCACGGGUGCGUAACGCGUGGGAAUCUGCCCUUUGGUUCGGAAUAACAGUUGGAAACGACUGCUAAUACCGGAUGAUGACGAAAGUCCAAAGAUUUAUCGCCAGAGGAUGAGCCCGCGUAGGAUUAGCUAGUUGGUGUGGUAAAGGCGCACCAAGGCGACGAUCCUUAGCUGGUCUGAGAGGAUGAUCAGCCACACUGGGACUGAGACACGGCCCAGACUCCUACGGGAGGCAGCAGUGGGGAAUAUUGGACAAUGGGCGAAAGCCUGAUCCAGCAAUGCCGCGUGAGUGAUGAAGGCCUUAGGGUUGUAAAGCUCUUUUACCCGGGAUGAUAAUGACAGUACCGGGAGAAUAAGCUCCGGCUAACUCCGUGCCAGCAGCCGCCGUAA
rnacentral:rRNA from 1 species